rnacentral:rRNA from 1 species
ACAGCAGUAGCCGCGGGAAAACGGAGGGUGCAAGCGUUAAUCGGAAUUACUGGGCGUAAAGCGCACGCAGGCGGUCUGUCAAGUCAGAUGUGAAAUCCCCGGGCUUAACCUGGGAACUGCAUUUGAAACUGGCAGGCUAGAGUCUUGUAGAGGGGGGUAGAAUUCCAGGUGUAGCGGUGAAAUGCGUAGAGAUCUGGAGGAAUACCGGUGGCGAAGGCGGCCCCCUGGACAAAGACUGACGCUCAGGUGCGAAAGCGUGGGGAGCAAACAGGAUUAGAGACCCCAGUAGUCCCUGUCUCUUAUAC